rnacentral:rRNA from 1 species
UACGAAGGGGGCUAGCGUUGUUCGGAGUUACUGGGCGUAAAGGGCGCGUAGGCGGCGCACCAAGUCAGGCGUGAAGGCCCUGGGCUCAACCCGGGAAUUGCGCUUGAGACUGGUGUGCUCGAGUACGGGAGAGGAUAGUGGAAUUCCCAGUGUAGAGGUGAAAUUCGUAGAUAUUGGGAAGAACACCGGUGGCGAAGGCGGCUAUCUGGACCGUAACUGACGCUGAGGCGCGAAAGCGUGGGGAGCAAACAGG